rnacentral:rRNA from 1 species
AGAGUUUGAUCCUGGCUCAGGAUGAACGCUGGCGGCGUGCCUAAUACAUGCAAGUCGAACGGAGAUUGUAGCAAUACGGUCUUAGUGGCGAACGGGUGAGUAACGCGUUGGCAACCUGCCCCGAAGUGUGGGAUAACGGUCCGAAAGGGCCACUAAUACCACAUGUGAUCCCGAGGAACAGAUACUUGGGAUGAAAGGAGCGAUUCGCUUCGGGAGGGGCCUGCGUCCCAUCAGCUAGUUGGUAAGGUAACGGCUUACCAAGGCGAUGACGGGUAGGGGACCUGAGAGGGUGGCCCCCCACAAUGGAACUGAAACACGGUCCAUACACCUACGGGUGGCAGCAGUAGGGAAUAUUGGUUAAUGUGCGAAAGCGCGAACCAGCAACGCCGCGUGUGCGAUGAAGGCCUUCGGGUCGUAAAGCACUUUUUGCAGGGAAGAGGAAGGACGGUACCUGCAGAAUAAGUCUCGGCUAACUACGUGCCAGCAGCCGCGGUAAAACGUAGGAGGCGAGCGUUAUCCGGAUUUACUGGGCGUAAAGCGCGUGCAGGCGGCAUGGCAAGUUGGAUGUGAAAGCUCCCGGCUUAACUGGGAGAGGUCGUUCAAUACUGCCAGGCUUGAGAGUGGUAGAGGGAAGCGGAAUUCCGGGUGUAGUGGUGAAAUGCGUAGAUAUCCGGAGGAACACCAGUGGCGAAAGCGGCUUCCUGGCCCAUUUCUGACGCUCAGACGCGAAAGCUAGGGUAGCAAACGGGAUUAGAGACCCCGGGUAGUCCUAGCCCGUAAACGAUGUGAACUUUGGCGUUUGGCGGGUUUAAAAUCCGUCCAGUGCCGUAAGCUAACGCGAUAAUUUCACCCGCCUGGGGGACUACGGGCCGCAAGGUUAAAAACUCAAAGGAAUUGACGGGGGCUCCGCACAAGCCAGCGGAGCGGUGUGGCUUUAAUUUCGAUGGUUACCCGAACACCCUUACCCUGGGUUUUGGACC